rnacentral:lncRNA from 1 species
GACACAAAACCCGGAAGGACCCCGCCGAAGGUUUUCUCCGGUUCGGGAGAGAGACGGAGUCCCGCUCUGUCACGCAGGCUGCCAGGCUGGCGUACAGUGGCGCAAUCUCAGCUCGCUGCAACCUCCACCUCCUGGGUUCAAGCGAUUUUCUUGCCUCUGCCUCCUGAGUAGCUGGGAUUACUGGCACACACCACCAUGCACAGUUCCUUGUUCAAAAUGCCAAGAACCUGGAUGACUCAUAGUCAAGACCCUCCACCAGUAACAUAUAUUGGCGAGCCAGCCAGGAGACCACUACAGGAAACACUCCAUUUAUUCCACCUGACUUCCCACUUGGCUGCAUCCUCAACCAUUGAAAUGAAUUUGACCCUGAUAAUCUAAGGAGGAAACAUUUGAUAUUCUUUUGCAAUAAUACUUGGCCCCAGUAUUGUUUGGAAUCUGGAGUUUGCUGUUGAAUGGGAAAGCAGGAUGACGUUGCAUGUAUCCAGGCUUUGGUGCUGCUGUCCUAAGAAGGGUCAGGCCUAGUCAGCAUAUGGUGCUCUCCUUUGGUGCUAUUUGGCUCCAGUGUCUUUGGAGUCUGAGGAGGUUUGGCCUUUAAAAAUCAAACUGCCACCGGAACUGCUUUAAAAAUGUUUGGUUCACAGCCUUCACUGGAUUACCUAUUGGAGCAAACAAAGUGUAACCAUGUAAAACCUGUGAGCUUGUAUUGAUAUCUCAUGGCUAGAGUUCCAAGCGAAUGGGUCUCAUGAGAUCUGAUGGUUUUGAAAAUGGGAGUUGCCCUGCACAAGCUCUCCUUUUGCCUGCUGCCAUCCACAUAAGAUGUGAUUUGCUCUUCCUUGCCUUCCACCAUGAUUGUGAGGCCUUCCCAGCAUGUGGAAAUGGUCCAGCCUGCAAUAACUGAAGCCCCCAGACCUGGAACCUGAAGAUCCCAUCAGCCACUAAACCUGUGAACCUGUAGAAGACCUGAAGUACCUGUUUAAAAGGCAGCCAAAAGAUAAGUAAAUUCCUAUCAACUUUCCUUGGUGUCCUUCUUGUAUAUUUACUGUAAGCUGGAUAUAAUAGUAGCCAUUUUUAUAUUUUUACAAUUUAAUUGCUUUCUUCCAAAUGGAUUGAAUCACUUCUUUUAAAGUGUUUUAAUUAAUUUUUAUCUAUAGAACAAAAUAACAAAUAAGUAUUUUUUUUUUAUACCAUAAUGGUCACCCACAGCCUGUGUAUACUAAGACCAUGCAUACUGAUAAUCAGCUUUAUUUUACAAAAGAGUUUCGCUUUACCCCUCUGGUAAUUAAUGGAUUCUGGGUAUUUAUUAAAAACUUUAACACAAAGACUGUUAAAUACCACCAGUCCAGCUUUGGCAAGGCACUGUUGGCUUUGUUUAUCUCCAUCAUCAUCCAAACAGACUACCAAUCCUGAUCCCAGCCCAAUCUUGGGCCCUUGAAAAAAUAACUUAACAUCCUAACUACAAGGGAGAAACUCCUUUCAAAUUAAUGAACCUGGCUGACUUAUAUAGCCUUAAAAUUAUGGAAAUGACAAGGGUUACAAUGUCAGAAUGAGCAGUAAACCUUCCCCAGUCCUAUCAGAGCAAACUUUCUGGGGUUGCAUCCCCUCAGAAACCCAUUUGGGGCCCAAUCUCAAUGCACAUAUCAGUGCGCAAAGCACUAAAAUUCCAGGCAACACUUUGUAUUGAGAGAAGCCAAAAUUUUGGUCCCGCCCUGGGACAUCUAAAGUCACCAAUGUAACUACACCAUACAGAUUAAACCCUCACAUGAUCAUGUAAGCUAUGCAGUUACCCAAGCUGCAUCAUUUAGAAAACCUGUACAGUUUUUAUGGAAACCAUCCCUAGUCAAGGACACUUUAAAUAUAUAGUCUAAAUACCGUUAAGGUAGGCCCACUAGCUGUGUUCACAUUUUCCCUUGGCCACCUUACCAGGGACUUUAAUAACUUGGGAAAGUGAAAACAACAAGCUAACCCACAUGUUCACCAUAGAAAACAAUUUUGUCUUGAAAAACAAGGACUCUUUUUCCCGUGUGGGACCAGUUCCUACUUAUGUUUUACCAGCCAAUUGGACUGGAACCUAUACAGUUGUUUAUUUAGCCCCCGAAAUUAAUAUAGCUCCCAACAACCAAUCCUUCAUUAUACUUUUAACUGCAACCACCAGACACAAAUGAGCCAUCCAACUGAUACCACUUUCGGUAGAGCUAGGAAUAACAGCAGGAGUAGGAAUGAGAGUUAGCAGCCUUGCAGUUUCCCUAUCCUAUUACCAAUGCUUGUCCAAGGAUUUUAUGGAAAGCUUAGGUGACAUUGCCCAAAAGUAUCAUCACCUUACAAAAUCAGAUAGAGUCUUUGGCAGUGGUGGCUUUGUAAAAUAGAAGGGGACUGGAUCUCCUAAAUGCUGAAGAAGGUGGCUUAUGUCUUUUUCCUAGAGGAAGAAUGCUGUUUUUAUGUCAACCAAACAGGAUUAGUAAGGGAUGCCACCCAAAAACUAGCCGAUUGGUACCAUAAGAUAUGACAACAGCUGUCUGAGUCAUGGGGCGCCUAGUCAAAAUGCUAAUUUGGGGCUCACAUCUCCUUCCUCUGGCCAGUCCACUAUUAAUUAUUAUACUUGCCUUGGCUUUUGGAUCAUGUUUGUUAAAUCUUUUAACCAGAUUUAUUUCUUCUUGCCUAGAGACCAUUAUGAUAAUGCAGCAGGGCCACCAGUCAGUUUCAGAUAAUGAUGUCAACCCCGGCCACCAAGAAGUAACCUUGUCUCCACUAGACAGAGCAGGGUGAGAGUUCUGUAAUCCCCAGUAGGUAGGGACUGUGCCCCAAGUCAGCAUGAAGUAGUUAUGGAAGAAAGACCAUGGGUCCCUCUGCCUCCCAGAAAGAUUUAUGGGGAUCACAUCUCUCAGGGGAAAAUGAGGCAGGAGAAUAGGGUCUGGAGACAGGGAACCUAAAGCUGAUUUGUGCUGAGUUUCUAGGAUUGAAUGAAAAGGAAAACCCCACCUCUCCACACCCAAGUAACAAAAGGAUCAGAGGCUACUCCCUUUGCACUGCAUUGCAGAUAAAAAAUGGAAAGUACCUCAGAUUGGUCCCCUCCCACAACCAAUCAGACUGGCCAUGGGCUACUCCUUCGUUUACAUAGGGUGUAACCAAGUAACCAAUGGGAAACCUCUAGCGGGUAUGUAAACCCCAGAAAAUUCUGUAACCAGUGCUCUUGAGCUGCUUGCUGGAGCCUACUCCCACUUUGUGAAGUGUACUUUCAUUUCAAUAAAUUUGUGCUUUCAUUGCUUCAUUCCUUCGUUGCUUUGUGUGUUUUGUCCAAUUCUUUGUUCAAAACACCAAGAACCUGGAUGACUCAUAGUCAAGAUCCUCUACCAGUAACACUUGAACUUUCUGGUUUGUCCUGAACAUCCCUCUUUCUUAAACAACCAGUCGUUUUAUUCUAGGCCAAAAUUUUACCAUACAAGAAUAUUUCUCAUAUACAAUUAUCUUCCUUCUAACUUUUCUUGCCAGAAAUACCUUUUAUAACUUUCUUUACAUUGCUUUUAUUUAACGAUUACUUUUACCUUGUUUCAUAAGUUUUAAAUAGCCUUGAAUUAGAUAAAAAAUUAUUUUCCUUUAAAUAAGAACACAUUUCUUUUUUUAGAAAAAUAUUUUUCUGUAAUUUUUUUUUUUUCUUGAGACAGAGUCUUGCUCUGUCACCCAGGCUGGAGUGCAGUGGCACAAUCUUGGCUCACUGCAAGUUCUGCCUCCCGGGUUCACGCCAUCCUCCUGCCUCAGCCUCCAGGGUAGCUGGGACUAGAGGUGCACACCACCACGCCUGGCUAAUUUUUUGUAUUUUUAGUAGAGACGGGGUUUCACUGUGUUAGCCAGGAUGAUCUCGAUCUCCUGACUAUGAUCUGUCUGCCUCAGCCUCCCAAAGUGCUGGGAUUACAGGUGUGAGCCACUGCACCUGGCCUAAUAUUUUAAAUUGGAAAUGACCCAGAUGUUUAAUGAGUACCUAUUAUUUAACUUAAUAUAAUUUUAGAUUCUAAAUUAUAUAACAAGUUUAAUCACAAGCAUUUAUUCCAUUACAUUUACCUAAUUAAUUUUUUUAAUAGUUUACUCAGAUUACUUUUGAAAACUGAGAGUUAUCAUUGAAAGUUAUUUCCCAGUUAAUCAUUUUUAUAGACUGCGAAUUUCAGGUUUUCCUAAGUAAGAAACUUAAGGUUAGAUAAAUGGUUUCUUUUUUUUUUUUUUUGCCAAUAACUUAGGAUUUAGCUGUUUUCAUUAACUAAACAAUAUUAAAUGCCUUAUUUAUGAAAUUUUACAUAGAGAUAAUUUUCCUUUGGGCUGCAUUCAUUGUUUUAUAACCCUCAUGCCAAAUUUUGGCAUCUAGCAGAGAUAAAUAUGAAACCACUGUUCCAAUAAAUUUAAACAAUAGUGUAUGUUGACAAUUCUGAAGCCAUUCUAAUUCUAAUUUUAUUUCAUGACUACUUUCAAAACCAGCUUAUUUAUUAAAGAUAUACUUAAGUCACAUGAACUUGAAAAGACAUUUGGCUUAAAAUCUCUAUUUUCUCUGAUACAGUAUUUGAUUUAAAGCCCCUUUUUUUCUUUAAGCCAAUUAAUUAGAGCACUUUUACAUGUUUCUAGUAGUGAAACAUCAUAUACAUGACACAUAAAUACAUAGAUGUAUUAUACAUGCAGAUAGAAGUAGAGCUUAUCAUUUCACAAGACCUCUUUUUUUCCUCCAGUUCUAGACUUCUAAUUUCUUGAUCUUAUUACCCUAGGCAGUUGUCAGCUAAGAUAACCCUAAAUUUGCAUAUUAAAGGAACUCUUAGAUGAAAAAAAUCAGAUAGUGAAAUUUACAUCUCAAGGUACAGAGAGAAAGAGUCUGGUGCUAGUGUUUCCAGAAUUUAUUCCUUCUGGUGGGUUCUUGGUCUCUCUGACUUCAAGAAAGAAGCCUCGGACCUUGCAGUGAGUGUUACAGCUCUUAAAGGUGGCGUGUCCAGGGUUGUUUGUUCCUUCUGGUGGGUUUGUGGUCUCACUUCAGGAAUGAAGCUGCAGACCCUCAUGGUGAGUGUUACAGCAAUUAAAGGUAGUGUGGACCCAAAGAGUGAGCAGCAGCAAGAUUUAUUAUGAAGAGCGAAAGAACAAAGCUUCCACAGCAUGGAAAGGGACCUGAGCGGGUUGAUGCUGCUGGCUGUGGUGACCAGCUUUUAUUCCCUUAUUCGUCCCCACCCACGUCCUGGUGAUUGGUCCAUUUUACAGAGCACUGAUUGGUCCAUUUCACAGAGUGCUGAUUGGUGCAUUUUACAGAGUGCUGAUUGGCGCAUUUACAAUCCUUUAGCUAGACACAGAGUGCUGAUUGGUGCAUUUUUACAGAGUGCUGAUUGGUGCAUUUACAAUCCUUUAGCCACAGAGUGCUGAUUGGUGCAUUUACAAUCCUUUAGCUAGACACAGAGCACUGAUUGGUGCAUUGUUAUAGAGUGCUGCUUGGUGCAUUUACAAUCCUUUAGCUAGACACAGAGCACUGAUUGGUGCAUUGUUAUAGAGUGCUGCUUGGUGCAUUUACAAUCCUUUAGCUAGACACAGAGCGCUGAUUGGUGCGUUUUUACAGAGUGCUGAUUGGUAUAUUUACAAUCCUUUAGCUAGACACAGAGCACUGAUUGGUGUGUUUAUAAUCCUCUAGCUAGACAGAAAAGUUCCCCAAGUCCCCACUCGACCCAGGAAGUCCAGCUGGUUUCACCUCUCACUAGUAGGAGGAGAUUAAAAACGAAUGCCAAAUCAAACAUAAAAUUAUAGAAAUCUAUCAUAGGAUUAUAUUAGAAGACUGACUUUAUUUAUAUAAGUAGUUCUAAAUUUAGUCUGCCUUUUAACUGGAUCUCUGAGCUCUGGGCAGAGCCCACACUGAAUUCCGGGUCUCCAAAAAGAGAAUUAUUAUGAGGCUAAGACCAUGUGAUGGUUUUAUGAGUGCACUCUCCUUUUUUUUUUUUUUUUAACAAAAAUGUUUCUCUAAGUGUCUGAACUACUCUCUUCCUAACUUUAAACACCCAACAGUAACCUCUGUUGUUACUCUUUGACUAAAAUAAUUAUUUUAGUUAAAAAAAAAAAAAAAAGAAGAAAGAAAGAAACCAGGUAACACUAUACAAAAGGAAGCAGUGUAAGAUCUGAGACGAAAUUUUCUCUUUUACACUCUUUGAGUUCCAUAAGGAGAAACAGAGGUUGCUCCCCAAAAGGGAGUCUAGUGCCUUCUCUGUUUUCUUUAAGGAAUCCCAGGGUGUUAGAAACUAUUUUAGAUUCCUCAUGCAGCACAGGGUAGCAAGAGAAAGAAGAGGCAGCAGAAGUAAAAUGAAGAAAACAGAAUUUGGUUGACGGAGAAGAAAAAAACUUUUGCUCAAAAAGUUGAAGGAGAGAAAUAAAAAAGGCCUUAACUACACACACACACACACACACACACACACACCUUGGAUGUUAGCUUUUAUUUAAGCUUUUAGCCACUAAGCUCCUUAAAAAAAAUACCUUCAAAUCUCAUUACUGUAUUUUAGCUAGUACAAACUGCUGAUAUUUCAAAAGUAAUGCAAAUACCAAACCAGAAAGGGCUUGAUUUAGGAACCAAACUUAGGCAGUCAUGAUGAAAAUAAGGACAGAAUCUUAGUUUCCAAACUGCAGUGCUGGGGGACAACCAUUGCUCUUUCAGUUUGGCCUGGUUAGCAAAAGAUGGCCUUGUUAUGUAAAUAAAGCCCCUAAGGUAGUCAAAAUCAAAAAAAAUUUUUUUUUCCUUUUGCUAGCUGUUUUUUUCUUUUUUCUUUUUCAGUUGCAGGAAUUUAGCCAAUUCAGAGGUCUUGUUCUCCAUAAUUUGGAAUUUUCCUUCGGAUUUGAUCAAGUUGGAUAGAGUUGGUCAAACCCAAUGGGAAAAAGAUGAAAACAACAAGAAACAGAAACAAACAGCAACAACAACAACAACAAAAACAAUGCAUUUAAUUAAAUGAAGAUGAGCUCAUGCUGGAGUAGGGUGGACUCUGAACCCAGUGGGACAAGCGUCCUUAUUAAGAAGAGGGAAAUCUGGACACACACAGAGCAGAGACCGCCGUGUGAAGAUGGAGGCAGAGAUCGGAGAGAUGCUGCCACACGCCACAAAUGCCUGGGGCUCCCAGAAACUACACGGAGCCUCCCCCAGCGGCUUCAGCAGGAGCAUGGCUCGGCCAACACUUUGAUCUUGGUCUUCCAGCCUCCAGAACGUUUUCCUAAAAUUCCCUUUUCCACUGGUGUGUGGUGCAAGAUGAGGCACAUUUUCCAUGGAUGGUGAACAGAGGGAGGAGCCUUUUGAUCACAACCAGGUCACCCCACUUCUAAGCCACUGUGCCUCCAGCCCCACAAGACUAAGGAGAGAGAGCGCAGCGUGGUGGAGAGUGAGCUGUGCUGGGACCAUUGUUUCCGUAACCUCGUUUUCUGUGUCCAGCUGACACACCUUCAAAGUGGCAUCAGGUCCUAAACUGUAGCUUGCAAUGUGCCUGUUUCCAGAAACCAAGGUGAAAGUGCUUUUAGACAGUGUUCCCAUGCAAGAGUCCCUUCCCAGCUUUUUUCUGGAAAUGCAUGUUUCUCUGAACUCUGAGUCCCAAGAAAAAUCACUUGAGACACCAAGAAAAUGGGGGAAGUGCUAAAAUUGUGUGGGAAUUCAAGCUUAACAAUAAACAUCAAGACAUUUUUGAUAAAAAUGAAUCCACUGACAUCGGGGAGGAGCAAGAGAACAGCACGCUGACACUGGGUCAGAGGCUAAGACCGACAUUUCUGGGAACCACUCCCGGAAGGGCACAGAGGAGACGCUUUCAGCCUCUCAUCAGCCAGCCUGGCCUGUAGCUGCUGCACGUUAUGAGUGUGUUCCUGGCAUGACUGCUUCUAACAACUGGGUCUCGCUUGUUGCCCAGGCUGUAGUGCACUGGUGCAAUCAUGGCUCACUGCAGCCUUGACCUCCUGGAUCAAGGUAUCCUCCCACCUCUCAGCCUCCCAAGCAGCUGGGACUAUGGGUGCAUGCCACCACACCCAGCUAAUUUUUGUAUUUAUGGAGAUAUGGGUCUCACCAUGUUACCCAGGCUGGUCUUGAACUUCUGGGCUCAAGCCUUCUGCCUGCCCUGGCCUUCCAAAGCAUUGGAAUUACAGGCCUGAGCCACUGUGCUAGGCCAGAGCCAACAGGACUUACUGAGAAAUUAUCUGAGAGAGAGGGGUCAAGGAAGACUCCCCCUGUUCAACCAAGCAACGAGGUGAAUGGUGCUGCUGCUUCCUGAGAUGGGGAAGACUGUAGAGGAAACAAACCAGGAACGACAAAUCAGUAAUUUAGCUUUGAAUACAUUAGGUUUGAGAUGGCUAGUCUGUACCCAAACAGACCACACUGUGGCAUCUGGGCAGCAGGAUCUGCAGAAUCCAGCAGGAUGGAUGCUGAUGCCAAGCUGAGUAGACAGUUGGGUCUGUGAGUCUAAAGCUCAGGGAAGACCUCAGGGUCUGGGAUACAAAUCUGGAGAUCAUCACCCUGUCCAUGAAAGCCAAGGGAAUGAUGGAAGAUACUAUGAGAAAAAGUGAAGAGAGGAAAGAGAAGAGGUCCAUGGAAGGAGACCUGGGAGAAUCCAACCUUCGAUUAGAUCAGGAAGAGGAGAAGAAUCCAGUAAAAAACUCUGAGAAGUCUCUGGGAAGGAAGUCUUCCUUCCUUCCCCUGUACCAGGAGAGGUGCUAUCCCAGAAAUUAGUAAAGAAACAGUUUUUGAUGGGGAGAACAGGAUCACCUUUGUCAACUGCUGCUGCGAGACUUGGAAAAAUAAGGACUGGGAAGAGAGCAAUAGAAACUUUGAAAGCCAUUGGUUAUCUUGAUAAGAGUUGUUUCUGUGGGGGUGGUGAGAACUGGAGCCUGACUGGAUGGGUUCAAGAGAGAAUGGGGAGUUCUAGCCAAGAAGGCUGAUGAGGAUGAGUCAAAUUAAAAAUGUUUUCUUUUUAUGAGUCCUCUCAUAUUUACUGAUACAACUGAUAUAUUGGGUCUCCAUUCUGCCACAUUACUUUAUAUUGAUCAUGUAUUGUAUCUGCUAUGCAAUUGUAUUGCAUGUAUCUGCAUGGCAAUUGUAUUGCCAUGCAAUGUAUUUUUUUUUACUUUAAAAAUUAUAUUUAUAAAGGUUUGUAAUUUUAUUCCAGUGGUUAUUUUAUAUGUACACU